rnacentral:lncRNA from 1 species
CUAGCACAGCCGCGAGGUGAGCUGCUGCUCCAUCUAAUCCGCGCCGUGGGCACUAAUUAGUUUUUUUCCCACUGCCGUCUUGGUCCAGUUGCUGUACAUCUGGUUCGUAUAGUAUUUUUUUCCCUAUCUGCUAUUUAUCUUUUAUGCGUGAUUUUUUUAAUUGCAAAAAAAGAUGCAUAUUUGAUAAUGUUCAUAAUUACUUAACCAUGCACCAGAUUUAAAAACUUCAUUAUAAAUGUUGUAACUUGAUCUAUAUAUGUAUACUCGGUAGAAUGAUGUGUAUAAUCACAUGAACCGCUUUAUUUUGUUGUUUAAUAAGUAUAAAACAUGUUUAGUUCAGAUCUGAACCAAUUUCAAAAUUAACAUAUGGGGUCAUUUUAGAAUGUUGUAAGUUGUUUCUGACCUCAUUUAAAAUGCCUAUAUAGUUUAGUUUAUUUAUGCUUCACCUCUUGCCAUGUUUAACAACAUAUAAUAUUAUCGUGUACCUAACUGGAGUGAACUAAGUUGUUCAAACAUGGAGUUUCGUUAAUAUGCAACGAGUUGCAUAUUGACCUUCAUUUAAUGUGUAGUAAUAAAUUGUUGUGUUUGCCAUGCCUUGCAUAAUUUAAAUGGACAUAUAUAAUAUUUGAUUGUGCAUCUUUUCAUGAAUAUGUGUGGUGUUAUUGUGUGUUGAUUGUUGUUCCGGAUUAUUUCUUCUCGAUAUAGUUUCGAACCACUUCGGAGUGUGAGGAUCCGUUCGACUAUGUCGGUUCGUCUGCUUCACGGAUUUGUUCUUCUUCCAAGCAGGAAAACAGGAAGAUGAUCAUUUCUUUAGAUAUCAUUACUAUCAUUGCCACGCCAGUUGUCUCGUUUCUUUCGCUAUGUCUCGCUGCCUAUCACCUUUUUAAAUAAGCCUCCCAACAUUGCCAUCAAAAGCAUCUAACCUUUUCACAACCCAGCAAAACACUGUUUGGCUAUGUUACCGCUUGCUCAGC